CCAUCAGGUUAAGCUGGGCACUCUAAAGAGACUGCCGUCGAUAAGGCGGAGGAAGGUGGGGACGGACGUCAAGUCAUCAUGGCCCUUAUGUCUAGGGCUACACACGUGCUACAAUGGGUUAUACAGAGGGCAGCUAGCUCGCGAGAGUCUGCGAAUCCCUUAAAGUAAUCCUCAGUUCGGAUUGUAGUCUGCAACUCGACUACAUGGAGUUGGAAUCGCUAGUAAUCGCAGGUCAGCAAAACUGCGGUGAAUACGUUCCCGGGCCUU
rnacentral:rRNA from 1 species